ensembl:lncRNA
AGCCAGGAUCCACCCUUCCCUAGACCUCAUUUAAGGGCUGAGACAGUGAAGACAAGGGUGUCUUGCUGGAGAUUCCUGCCUACCUGAGGUCUGUUGGGUGUCUUUACUCAGGUGGUUUUUGAACUGGAAUGCACUGUUACCUUGAGUUGCCAGUUCAACCACCAGGUGGCCAUCAGCGAGCAGAAGUCGGCCUGUCCUUGGGUGGCGGCUCUAUCCCAGCUGUGGGGAUACGAAGGGGAAAAGCAGAAGCUCACCUCUGGUCACCAGCGCUCAUUUUAAGAUUUCUUGAUUGUCGUUACUACUCUCACCACUGCUGAGCUCUUGAUUUCUGCUAUUAAUACACCAUGUACACUUGUAUGAGCUUAUUCUUUGAAUCAGUAACUGCUACCUUUCGAAAAGCAUACUUGUUUUUUAGUGGGGAGGAAUAAAACAGCAGAAAGGAUCUAUGAGACCCAGAUUUAUAUUGGGCUGUGGUUGUUUAUACAAUUUGGAUGUGCUCAGAAUAAUUUAUUUUAAAUUAUCUCUAUUAUUAACAUUUAAGAAAGUUGAGUAUUUGCUAAAUUAAAGUAAUAGACAUAUAUAAAAUAUAUUAUUCUUACAGUUACCAAGAAGGAAAAAGAAAAAGGGGGUGACAACAUAUUGAUUUAAGUUUUAAGUAAAAUCUACCUUCAUGAGACAAAUGCGCAGUCUCAAAUGUGUCCUACUACUAUCAUGUUCUACCAGUACUUGCCUUUUAGUAUGUAACCUAGCAUGUACCACGAAAAACAUAACUGCUUUUUCCUUUAUGCAAUAGGAGUAUUGUAUUGGAAAGGAAUAAAAACCUCCUUCUGCAC